rnacentral:rRNA from 14 species
AUAUAGACGAACCAGUGUGGAUGCUGGACCGUAGAGGGUGAGAGUCCCGUAGUCGAAAUGUGUUCCGCCGCUGUUGGAGGGUUGCCCGAGUAGCACGGGGCCCGAGGAAUCCCGUGUGAAUCUGCCAGGACCACCUGGUAAGCCUGAAUACUACCUGUUGACCGAUAGCGGAUCAGUACCGUGAGGGAAUGGUGAAAAGUACCCCGGGAGGGGAGUGAAAGAGUUCCUGAAACCGGUCGCAUGCAAGCCGUCAGAGCCUGUGUGGUGAUGGCGUGCCUUUUGAAGAAUGAGCCUGCGAGUUAGUGAUGCGUGGCGAGGUUAACCCGUGGUGGGGGAGUCGUAGCGAAAGCGAGUCCGAUAAGGGCGUGAGUCGCGUGUUCUAGACCCGAAGCGGUGUGAUCUAUCCAUGGCCAGGAUGAAGCGUCGGUAAGACGUCGUGGAGGUCCGAACCCACUUCAGUUAAAAAUGGAGGGGAUGAGUUGUGGAUAGGGGUGAAAGGCCAAUCAAACACCGUGAUAGCUGGUUCUCCCCGAAAUGCAUUUAGGUGCAGCGUUGCGUGGUUCUUGUUGGAGGUAGAGCACUGGAUGGUCUAGGGGGCUUAUCGGCUUACCGAAAUCAGCCAAACUCCGAAUGCUGGCAAGUGUAGCGUGGCAGUGAGACGGCGGGGGAUAAGCUUCGUCGUCGAGAGGGAAACAGCCCAGAUCAUCAGCUAAGGCCCCUAAGUGGUGACUCAGUGGGAAAGGAUGUGGAGUUGCGUAGACAACCAGGAGGUUGGCUUGGAAGCAGCCAUCCUUGAAAGAGUGCGUAAUAGCUCACUGGUCAAGUGAUUCCGCGCCGACAAUGUAGCGGGGCUCAAGUACACCGCCGAAACCGUGGCAUUCAGUUUUGCUGGAUGGGUAGGGGAGCGUCGUUCACGAGGUGAAGCCAGCGGGUAACUUCUGGUGGAUUGUGGACGAGUGAGAAUGCAGGCAUGAG